rnacentral:rRNA from 1 species
GUGGAUUAGAUACCCUGGUAGUCCGCACUGUAAACGAUGAUUACUCGCUGCUGGAGGGCAACUUUCAGUGGCUUAGCGAAAGCGAUAAGUAAUCCACCUGGGGAGUACGCCGGCAACGGUGAAACUCAAAGGAAUUGACGGGGGCCCGCACAAGCGGAGGAGCAUGUGGUUUAAUUCGAUGAUACGCGAGGAACCUUACCAGGGCUUGAAAGUUAAGGAAUGAUUAUGAAAGUAGUCAGUCAGCAAUGACCUAAAACUAGGUGCUGCAUGGUCGUCGUCAGCU